AGUGAACGCUGGCGGUAGGCCUAACACAUGCAAGUCGAACGGCAGCACAGAGGAGCUUGCUCCUUGGGUGGCGAGUGGCGGACGGGUGAGGAAUACAUCGGAAUCUACUCUGUCGUGGGGGAUAACGUAGGGAAACUUACGCUAAUACCGCAUACGACCUGCGGGUGAAAGCAGGGGACCUUCGGGCCUUGCGCGAUCGAAUGAGCCGGUGUCGGAUUAGCUAGUUGGCGGGGUAAAGGCCCACCAAGGCGACGAUCCGUAGCUGGUCGGAGGGGAUGAGCAGCACCACUGGGACUGAGACACGGUCCAGACUCCUACGGGAGGCAGCAGUGGGGAAUAUUGGACAAUGGGCGCAAGCCUGAUCCAGCCAUACCGCGUGGGUGAAGAAGGCCUUCGGGUUGUAAAGCCCUUUUGUUGGGAAAGAAAUCCAUCUGGUUAAUACCCGGGUGGGAUGACGGUACCCAAAGAAUAAGCACCAGCUAACUUCGUGCCAGCCGCCGCAGUAA
rnacentral:rRNA from 1 species